GUUAGGAAUAUUGGACAAUGGGCGCAAGCCUGAUCCAGCCAUGCCGCGUGAGUGAUGAAGGCCUUCGGGUUGUAAAGCUCUUUAGUCCACGAAUAUAAUGACUGUAGUGGAAGAAUAAGCCCCGGCUAACUUCGUGCCAGCAGCCGCGGUAAUACGAAGGGGGCGAGCGUUAUUCGGAAUCACUGGGCGUAAAGCGUGCGUAGGCUGUUUUGUAAGUCAGAAGUGAAAACCCAGGGCUUAACCCUGGGAUUGCUUUUGAAACUACAAGACUCGAAUUCGGGAGAGGAUAGCGGAAUUGUCAGUGUAGCAGUGAAAUGCGUAGAUAUUGACAGGAACACCAGUGGCGCAAGCGGCUAUCUGGACCGAUAUUGACGCUGAGGCACGAAAGCGUGGGGAGCAAACAGGAUUAGAAACCCGGGUAGUCC
rnacentral:rRNA from 1 species